UUGGUCAUGAUGUUUGUGCAGGAAUAGAAACCCUGACUAAGACGGUUAUGGGAUCCAGACUCCAAGCCUCAUGAGAGAGCAGCAAGUGCCGCUAACCACAGAACUGCCCCUCUAGCUCUGAACUAUGUCUGUCUUGUGCACCUCCUGUCCUGAGACAACGGGGCCUUGUUCUGAGACUAGAUCGCUUAGCACAGCCUUCCUCCAAGUAUGAUGCCCACAGCCAUGAUGACUUCAAAGCAGCUAGCCGGUGGAUGGCAUGCACUGCAGGCAUGCCCUGGACAGAUGCGGCUGCAGGUAAGGGCUCUAUUUUGGGCCUCAGCCCCAGCACAGACUAAGCAGCAGCCACCUGGUUUUCUGCAGUAGCCCCGUGGAGACUGGGUUCUAGAGAACCUGUCCAGAACUGAAGCCUGUGCUACGUGCUGUGCUGCGAGUGGUCAAGUCCUUUGCCUCUGCCUUGAGGGUGCUGUGUUUUCUGCCAGCGCAUGAAACCAAGACAGCCUCCAGCAUCAGUCUGCAA